AUGUUGGCUGAAAUUUGUCCUUGCCCCUCCCCAGGCUCCUGCACAAAACCUACAGUUCAUAAUGGAGCUACUGUACUGGCUGUGGAAGGAGGAGAUUCUGAAGAUAGGGAGUCACUGGAAAAAUGUCAGCUUCUAGAAGGUAGCACACCACUGCCUCUGGAGAAUGCUGGGCACAGCGCCCCACUCAGUUCAGCUGGAUAA
rnacentral:lncRNA from 1 species